rnacentral:lncRNA from 1 species
AACCAGGGCACCCCGCGCCGGCUGAGGAGGCCGCACCUCGCCGGACGGCUGAGGGCGGGCGACGGGCGGCGCCGGCGGACGGGCCGCGACGCCAGGGAAGGUCAGGCGGCCCGGGGCGUCCUGCGACUGCCCGAGGUCGGAGGCCCGGAGGACCCGCCGCCGCCUUUGUGUCACCAGCCCCCGCCCCGCUGGACUGGCCCGGGCCGGGGCGGUUGGGCCGGCGCUGAAGAGGCUUGGCCGCCCGGGUCCACCCGUUCCCGGAUCCGCCUCGGCGGCCCCCGCGCCCGCCCAACCCCUGCCCAACCCCUCGGCUCCGCGAGUUUGGGUGAGAAGUGCGGCGGCUUUUCCCAGGGAUGGAGUUUAGAGGACGCUAAUCCUAUGUGCGAGCGGCGGACCCCGCCCGGAUUUCCCGGAGGCGCCCGGUUAGUGAGGCGACGGCGCCCACCCGCGUUCGCGGGCUCCCGACCGCCACUCCCCGGAGCCGCCGGCCCGCCCCAGCCCCGCGCGUCGCCCCGGAGGGCGGGCUGCACUCCCUCCACGCACCUGGCUGGCAGAGCGUCUCCAGGGACAAAAGGUGCCCUGGCAUCAAAGCCGAGCCCCCGCCCCCGCCGGGAUGCUGCCCUCCGGAAGGAGGGGCGCUGCCCCCAAGGUACUCUCCCCGGGCACCCAGGGGGAGGUUCCAUUUCAACCUCCGAUGAAAAACACGGCCCUCCCGGGUAUUUAGGAGGGUCUGAGGGUAAGUGCCAAGAUGGAGAAAACACACCGGCCCCUCACAGAGUAUCUCCUGAGGAAUGACAACUAUCUAGUGGGCAAGGAGGGCUUCCUGCAUAGCAGAGGGCACCCCCUCUGAUCCCCCAACGCCAAGGGAAAAAAAUCACUCUUCACCGGCUCCCCUGAGCCAGGACAGGCUCCAGUGCAGCCACCCACCUUAUAAUUUUCCGCGGAUGCUGCCUUGAUCAGAUAGAUCUGAAGAUGACUUUAAGGACUACAAGCAAAUCUCAAGGGAAAAAUUCAGACCUUGAACAACAGCCUUGAACUUUUUCAGGGUUAGACAAGUACUCCCCUGUGGAGUUUCUGCCCUUAUUUCUUCGUUCUUCUGUUAAUUCUUCCAUAUUUUAACAGAACACAGACCUGCCGAAACGACACAGGAUGGCGCUUUGCUUUUUGUUAGUUCUCCAACCUUCCAAACCCUUGGGGCACAUGCAAGCACUGUGGAAAAACUCCAUUAAACCAAGAGUCAUCUUACUCCAGAUCCCAGACUGCUUGGGAAGUUGGACAUGCAUAUUCCCAAAGAGAACAGUGUUGGAAGGAGACAGGAGAGCAGCUCGGGGGUUGGGGGUAGAGGGUAGGAAAAGAGGGCAAGAUGGAUGACUACCACUCGAGGCCAGCCUCCACUGCCUGUUAGGGCAGUAGAACCUAAGAGCCGGUCCAAGGCAACACAAAAGACAGUGAGGCUAGGUCUUUCAUUGCAGCCAACGAUCAAGAAAGCAACUCCAUCAAAUGACACUGUCUUUUAAAAAAAAAUUUUUUUUUUGAGACAGAGUCUCGCUCUGUCGCCCAGGCUGGAGUGCAGUGGUGCGAUCUUGGCUCACUGCAACCUCUGCCACCCGGGUUCAAGCAGUUCUCCCUGCCUCAGCCUCCUGAGUAGCUGAGAUUACAGGCACGCGCUACCAGGCCCGGCUAAUUUUUUUUUUUUUUGGUGGAGUCGAGGUUUUGCCAUGUUGGCCACGUUGGUCUCGAAUUCCUGACCUCAGGUGAUCCGCCCAUCUCAGCCUCCCAAAGUGCUGGGAUUUCAAGCGUUAGCCACCGCGCCCGACCAAAUGACACUGUCUUAAAUGAUUUAAUGUCUUAAAUCGGGAAAGGAGAGUAAGAGAAAGCACUCAACGGAGUCAGAGGUGUCUUGCAGCCUAGCUCUUUCCACAGACAAGCUACAUGGGCCUAUCAUCUAACCUUUUCAAGCUUCUCCGACUGCUUCUGUGUUGGAGGGAUUUGGGCUAGAGGAUCUUUUUAUUUUUUUUUAUUUUAUUUUGGUGACGGAGUCUCUCACUGUCGCCCGGGCUGAAGCAGGAGAAUUCGCUUGAACCCGGGAGGCAGAGGUUGCAGUGAGCCAAGAUGGCACCACUGCACUCCAUUCUGGGUGACAGAGUGAGACCCUGUCUCAAAAAUAAUGAUAAUAAAAUAAAAGUAAUUAUUUAAGGCUGGGAGCGGUGGCUCAUGCCUGUAAUCACAGCACUUUGGGAGGCCGAGGUGGGUGGAUCAUGAGGUCAGGAGGUCGAGACCAUCCUGUCUAACACAGUGAAACCCUGUCUCUACUAAAAAUACAAAAAAAUUAGCCAGGCAUGGUGGCGGGCGCCUGUAGUCCCAGCUACUCGGGAGGCUGAGGCAGGAGAAUCGCUUGAACCCAGAAGGCGGAGGUUGCAGUAAGCCGAGAUCACACCACUGCACUCCAGCCUGGGUGACAGAGCGAGACUCCGUCUCAAAAAAAAUUAUUAUUAUUAUUUAAAAUAAUCAUUGGGCCUGGUGCGGUGGCUCACACCUGUAAUCCUAGCACUUUGGGAGGCCAAGGCGGGCGGAUCACGAGGUCAGGAGAUUGAGAUCCAACCUGGCCAACAUGGUGAAACCCCAUCUCUACUAAAAAUAUUUUUUUAAUUAGCUGGGCGUGGCGGCGGGCACCUGUAAUCCCAGCUAGUCGGGAGACUGAGGCAGGAGAAUCGCUUGAACCUGGGAGUCGAAGGUUUCAGUGAGCCGAGGUCGUGCCACUGCAAUCCACCUGGCCAACAGAGCAAGACUCUGUCUCUAAAAUAAUAAUUUUUAUUAUUGUUAUUCUUGACAGGCCAGUGUAGAACAGGUGGGGCAUCUAUGGUGACAGAACUGGGUUCCAAUUCUGUCCCUUCACCUGUCCCAGGUUCCUCAUCUGAAAACUGUGACCCAGUAAACCUAAUUUCAUGAGCAGCUUUCAUUAAAAUUGAAAUAAUGGUGGAAAAUGCCUUGUAACCGUGCUUGAUGUAGAGUAGUUACUUAGCCAGUUAUUUCCUCUCUUCUUCCCAUUCCUAACAAAAUGGAAAAACGUUUGGUUGCUAGGAAAGAGCCUUAAGGGGAUUUUGUUGUUGUUUGACUCUAUCGCCCAGGAUGGAGUGCAAUGGCACAAUCUCUGCUCAGUGCAACCUCCGCCAUAGACAGGAGCCAAGCGUAGUGGUGUGCACCUGUCGGUAGUUCCAGCCUCUUAGGAGGCUGAGGCAGGAGGAUUGCUUGAGGCCAGGAGUUUGAGUCUAGCUUGGGCAAUAUAUUGAAACCUUGUCUCUUAAAAAAAAAAAAAAAAAAGAGGCCAGGUGUGGUGGCUCACACCUGUAAUCCCAGCACAUUGGGAGGCCGAGGCAGUGGAUCACUUGACACCAGGAGUUCGAGACCAGCCUGGGCAACAUGCAAACUUAUGUCUUUUAGGCCGGGCGCGGUGGCUCACACCUGUAAUACCAGCACUUUGGUAGGCCGAGGCGGGCAGAUCACGAGGUCAGGAGAUCGAGACCAUCCUGGCUAAGAUGAAACCCAGUCUCUACUAAAAAUAAAAAAAAAUUAGCCGGGUGUGGUGGCUGGCGCCUGUAGUCCCGGCUACUUGGGAGGCUGAGGCAGGAGAAUGGCAUGAACCCAGGAGGUGGAGUUUGCAGUAAGCCAAGACAGCACCACUGCACUCCAGCCCAGGCAACAGAGCUAGACGCCCUCUCAAAAAAAAAAAAAAAUUACAUCUUUAAAAAAAAAUGCAGGGCCGGGUGCGGUGGCUCAUGCCUGUAAUCCCAGCACUUUGGGAGGCCGAGGCGGGCGAAUCACGAGGUCAGGAGAUCGAGAGCAUCCUGGCUAACACAGUGAAACCCUGUCUCUAGUAAAAAUACAAAAAAUUAGCCAGGCGUGGCAGCAUGCGUCUGUAGUCCCAGCUGCUGGGGAGGCUGAGGCAGGAGAAUGGCGUGAACCCAGGAGGCAGAGCUUGCAGUGAGCCAAGGUCCCGCCACUGCACUCCAGCCUGGGCGACAGAGCGAGACUCGGUCUCAAAAAAUAAUAAUUAACAAAAAAAAAAAAAUACAAAAGUUAGUUGCACAUGUUGCCAUAUGCUCGUGGUCCCAGCUACUCAGCAGGCUGAGGUUGGGAGAUCACUUGAGCCCAGAAGGUGGAGGUUGCAGUGAGCUGAGAACCCACCAUUGUACUCCAGCCUGCGUGUCAGUGAGAUUCUGUCUCAAAAAAAAAAAGAAAAGAAAAAAAAUCUAGGCUAUGCUCCCUAGUAUGGGAAAUCUAGUCUAGUCAUUUGACAGAAUCAGGCUUUGCAGGCCAUAUUGUCUCUGUCGUAACUACCAACUCUGCUGGUUAAAAGGGAAGUAGCCACAAACAAUAUCUGAAUGAUGGAUUAUGGCUGUGUUCCAAUAAAACUUUAUUUGCAAAAACAGGUUGCUGGUUGCAAGGUAGUUUUCCAACCUCUACGUGAUUCUCAGACUUUAGGUUGCAUCAUAAUCACCUGGAGGGCUUGUUCAAACGCAGAUUGCUGGGCCCCACCCCCAGAAUUUUUGAUUCAGCCAGUCUGGGGUGGGGCUGAUAUUUGUAUUUCUACCAACUUUCCAGGUGAGGCUGGCUGAUGAUGGUCUGGAAACCACUUUGAAAACCUCUGAAGCUUUUCUCAACUCCCUUCUUUGUGUACCUAAAACACUUUAUCCCUACUGUAGAUGUAGCAUUAGCGUGUUAUAUUAGUUUAGUGAUUGGUGUGUGGGUCUCUGGGAGCCUUUCUGAAUCACCUCCCUAGCCUAGUGCCUGACAAUAGCAAUUUGCUCCCCAUUCAUUGACUGAACUGAAACCGGAGGGUCAUGGUCAUCAUCAUUGUUCCAAGCCAUAGAUAGAAGAUGAAGUCACCACCCCUGAUCUCAGAGCUCAUCAGAGUAGAGCUUGGGCUGGACCCUGCCCUUCUCUGCAGUGAGCAGUUUUCUCUGUGGAGCUCUGUGCAACCUGGAGCCAGUCCUGCCUGGGGUAAGAGGAAAAAAGACUCCUUCCCCCCAGCCCCACAGCCUGUACGCAAACACACCGGGAGACAUGACCUGCUCAGAGGAGACCUGGAACCAAGGGAAUAAAAUGAGAGUGGGUUGGGGGCUGCUGUUAGUUAUUUUUUGCUUGUAAGUGGACAAUUUGUGGUGUGGUGUGUGAAUUUGGGGUCUUAAAUCCAGAUAGCUGUCUGCUGUGGACAGCCACUGUUUCUGAAUUACAGGGCAUUUCAAGUGACCUGUGGUCAGGAUGUUUUCUCAGAUCAGGCAAAAUCAAUUGGUCCUGAUAAUAACCAGGGGAGUUGUACUUUCCCUAUCUUGAGUAGAAGAAGCCACAGCUCCCGGGUCCACCUGCCUCUCCUGACUGCCCACCUCCUGGCUUUUUCUUUUUCUUUUUUUUUUUUUUUUUUUUGAGACGGGGUCUUGCUCCAUUGCCUAGGCUGGAGUGCAGUGGUGCGAUCUCAGCUCACUGCAACCUGGGCCUCCUGGGUUCAAGAGAUUCUCCUGCUUCAGCCUAGCGAGGAGCUGGGAUUACAGACGCGCGCCACCUCGCCCAGCUAAUUUUUUUAUAUUUUUAGUAGAGACGGGGUUUCACCGUGUUAGCCAGGAUGCUCUCGAUCUCCCGACCUCGUGAUCUGCCCGCCUCGGCCUCCCAAAGUGCUGGGAUUACAGGUGUGAGCCACCGUGCCCGGCCGGCCUCCUGGCUUUUAUCCUGGGGGCACUGCAAGUAGAGCCAGGCAUGUGGCCCAUGCAUCCUUCCCAGCCUCUUUCCUGCUGGGCAUGGAGGAGGAGGCACUGCCAGGAGCUCCCCACAGACAGGCGCUGCUUACUGAUGGGUUGGCUGCAAACUGUAGGCAUAACAGUUACCUUCCUCUUCACAACCCCCAGGCCUGACGAGGCUUACAUGGGAAUUGCUUUGAUUUGUGAAGUCUUAAGACUAUACUGCUGGGCGAGGUGGCUCAAGCCGGUAAUCCCAGCACUUUGGGAGGCUGAGGCGGGCGGAUCACGAGGUCAGGAGAUCAAGACCAUCCUGGCUAACACAGUGAAACCCUGUCUCUACUAAAAACACAAAAAAUUAGCCGGACAUGGUGGGGGGGUGCCUGUAGUCCCAGCUACUUGGGAGGCUGAGGCAGGAGAAUGGCACGAACCCGGGAGGCAGAACUUGCAGUGAGCCGAAAUCACACCACUGCACUCUGCACUCCAGCCUGGGUGACAGAGCGAGACUCUGUCUUAAAAAAAAAAAAAAAAAGACUAUACUACCUAAUCUUCCAUGCCUCGCUCUUUCCACAUUAAUAGACAAAACCAGGAAAAAGGACUGCUUCCCCUCCAGCUCUUGAUUGGGCUCCAUAAGAACUGCCAAAAGGCCAGGCAGCAUUUGCUACUCUUCUGGGGUUCACUUCUGAAAGGUGCGACCCUGCAACCUAGAGCACAGGGAAGUUAGGACAGCAAAGGAGCUGGGCUGAGCCGACGCUGGCUUAGAACUCUUUCUGAUACUCCCUGUUCCCGCCAGCUCGUUAGCCCAGCCUGCCAAUCAGUUUUGCAUCAAUAAACUUUAUGUUCUGAGGUUGGCCAGAUGAAUGAGAGGAGAGCAGCUAAAGACUGAUCUCUGACCUUGGCACGUAAACAGCCUCCAGAUUGGACUUGACAGUUAAUAAAGGAAAGGCCCUGCAAUUCUCUGAUGUCUUUUUGCCUUAAUUAGAUUGAGCAUUCAAAGGCUAUGGGGAAAUCUUCCAUUUGAAGAGAAAGACCUCACAAGACAGGAAGUCACUUCACUCAUUCAUUCUUUCAGACUGUCAAUCAUUCGGUCUACAGUCACUGGCAUUUGUCAAAUGCCCUAUUACCUGUGCUCAGCACUAUGCUAACUGCUUUUGAGUCGAGUGGCUGCAAGAAUUCCAGAAGUCCAUGCCGUGCUCUUCUGGAAGACUGCACAGCCAGGCAGUCAAGAGCACAAGCUUCAGUUUAACAUAUCUGAGCUCAAAUCCUGAUUCUGCCAUGUGACUUUUGGCAAGUUAUUUAAACUCUCUGCCUUUAGUUUCCUCUUGGAGUAAAUAAUACCAACUUCCACAGGUUGUCAUCAAGGCCAAGUGAGACCAUCUGUGUAAAGUGGGCAGCACAGAGCCUGGUCGUUGGCAGGUGCCUGGUGGCCAUGAACAUGACAGUGCCUGCACUUGGCUGAACUGUCAGGCCGAAAAGCCUCCCUUCCUUCCUUCUCUCACCUCCCCCAUUCCUGGCAUGCUGCCAGUCACUGGGGAGCUGAUGAUGACUCACAAUCCCUGCCCUCAGUGAUAUUAUAAAUCUAUUGUUGGCCGAGCACUGUGGCACAAUGCUUGUAAUCCCAGCACUUUUGGGAGGCUGAGGCAGAAGGAUCACUUGAGGCCAGAAGUUUGAGACCAGCUUGGGCAACAUACCAGGAUACCAUCUCUACCGAAAAUUUAAAAAUUAGCCAGGCAUGGUGGUGUGCACCUGUAGUCCUAGCUACUUGGGAGUUGGGAGGCUAAGGCAGAAGGAUCGUUUGAGCCUCGCAGUUCAGGGUUACGGCCUGGGUGAAAGAGGGAGACCCUGUCCCUUUAAAAAUAAAAAUAAACUAUUGGCCAGGCAUGGUGGCUCACGGCUGUAAUACCAGGACUUUGGGAGGCUGAGGCAGGUGGAUCACUUGAGGCCUGGAGUUCAAGACCAGCCUGGCCAACAGAGUGAAACCCUGUCUCUACUAAUAAUACAAAAAAUUAGCCAGGCGUGGUGGCACAUGCCUAUAAUCCCAGCUACUCAGGAGGCUGAGGCAGGAGAAUUGCUUGAACCUGGGAGGCAGAGGUCGCAGUGAGCCGAGAUCGCACUGCUGUACUCCAGCAUGGACCACAGUGGGAGACUCCCUCUCAAACGCGCGCGUGCACACACACACACACACACACACACACACACACCAAAAAACAGGACGGCCGGGCACAGUGGCUCCUGCCUGUAAUCCCAGCACUUUGGGAGGCCGAGGUGGGCAGAUCAUGAGGUCAGGAGUUUGAGACCAGCCUGGCCAAUAUGGUGAAACCCUGACUCUACUAAAAAUACAAAAAUUAGCCGGGCAUCAUGGCACGUGCCAAUAGUCCCAGCUACUUGGGAGGCUGAGGCAGAAAAAUCGCUUGAACCUGGGAGGUGGGAGGUUGCAGUGAGCGGAGAUCAUGCCACUGCACUCCAGCCUGGGCAAUAGAGUGAGACUCAGUCUCAAAAAAAAAAAAAAGAAAGAAAGAAAGAAAUCCCUGAACCCUUUCACGCUAUAUUUGCUCGCACGUACAGGUUUCUUCAGUGUUAACCGUGUUCAUCACAUUGAUGUGCUGUUUCACUUCAUGCUGUGUGAUGUGAACUUCAGCCAGAGCAAGGAGAAAGCAGUAUAUACUCUGAAAAGGACCCCGCACCGUGUUCACCCAAACAGCACCUUCUCAUGCAUCUCAGAGCCUUCGGCCUCUGGGCCACCUCCUCACUCCCCCAGGGGUGCUCUGAAGCCUUAAGCAGUCUGCUUUUCUUUUUCUUUUCUUUCUUUCUUUUUUUUUUUUUAACAGAGUCUCGCUCUUGUUGCCCAGGCUGGAGUGCAGUGGUGUGAUCUUGGCUCACUGCAACCUCUGCCUCCCGGGUUCAAGCGAUUCUCCUGCCUCAGCCUCCCGAGUAGCUGGGAUUACAAGCAUGCGCCACCACACCUGGCUAAUUUUGUAUUUUUAGUAGAAAUGGGGUUUCUCCAUGUUGGUCAGGCUGGUCUCCAACUCCCGACCUCAGGUGAUCCACCUGCGUCAGCCUCCCAAAGUGUUGGGAUUACAGGUGUGAGCCACCACACCUGCCUCUCUUUUUUUUCUUUUUCUUUUCUUUUCUUUUUUUUUUUUUUUUUGAGAAGGAUUCUCGCUCUGUCACCCAGACUGGAGUGCAGUGGCGAGAUCUGGGCUCACUGCAACCUCCACCUCCCGGGUUCAAGCGAUUUUCCUGCCUCAGCCCUCUGAGUAGCUGAGACUACAGAUGCCCACCACCACGCCCACCUAAUUUUUUGUAUUUUUAGUAAAGACGGGGUUUCACCGUGUUAGCCAGGAUGGUCUCACUCUCCUAACCUCAUGAUGUGCCUGCCUCGGCCUCCCAAAGUGCUGGGAUUAUAGGCGUGAGCCACCGUGCCUGGCCAGCAGUCUGCCUUUCAUGUGCCUCUUUGUAUUUACUGGUUUUUUUGUUUUUGUUUUUUGGUUUUUUUUUUUUUUGGAGACAGAGUCUCACUCUGUCACUCAGGAUGCUGGAGUGCAGUGGCACAAUCUUGGCUCACUGCAGUCUCUGCCUCCUGGGUUCAAGCAAUUCUCCUGCCUUGGCCUCCUGAGUAGCUGGGACUACAGGCACAUGCCACCACACCCGGCUAAUUUUUGUAUUUUUAUUAGAUACAGGGUUUCGCCAUAUUGGUCAUGCUGGUCUCGAACUCCUGACCUCAGGUGAUCUGCCCACCUCAACCUCCCCAAGUGCUGGGAUUACAGGCAUGAGCCACCAUGCCUGGCCUUCUUGUAUUUAUUGGUUUUAAUCCUCAAUUAGAAACCUCUUAGGCAAUUGUCUAGUUUUUACUAGCUAUCCCUAAUUCUUUUUUUUUUAAGUGAAAUCAAGUUUAUUAAGUAAGUAAAGGAAUAAAAGAAUGGCUACUCCGCCGGGUGCAGUGGCUCACGCCGGUAAUCCCAGCACUUUGGGAGGCCGAGGCGGGGGGAUCACAAGGUCAGGAGUUCAAGACCAGCCUGGCCAAGAUGGUGAAACCUCGUCUCUACUAAAAAUACAAAAAUUAGCCAGACGUGGUGGUGGCGCAUGCCUGUAAUCCCAGCUACAUGGGAGGCUGAGGCAGAGAAUCGCUUGAACCUGGGAGGCGGAGGUUGCAGUGAGCCGAGAUCGCGCUAUUGCACUCCAGCCUGGGUGACAAGAGCAAAACUCCGUCUCAAAAAAAAAAAAAAAAAAAAGGAAUGGCUACUCCAUAGGCAGAGCAGCCGCUAUCCUUAAUUCUUAAAUAACCCAGGCUCGUGCUAUUCAGUAUAUGCUUCCCAUCACUUCCUAAAGGGACCAUGAGCGUACAGGAGUUCAGAGUCCUUUGAGAUCUCCUAGUUCAAUCUCCUCAUGUUACAGAUGGAGAAACUGAGUCUUGGAGGAGUGGGGACUUAAUCUUUCCUCUUGUCUCCCUCCCUAAACCAAUAAACAAUCUUCACCCAGAUCGUCAACACAAACCCACAAACCUCACCAGUUUUUCCCUGCGGGAACCUCCCCAUUGCUCUCCUGGCCCUUCUUAGCAGAGAGCCUCAUAUCCUACGUAGAGGAGAGAGGGGAAGUCAUCAGACAGGAACGCCCUCCACCAAGUUGCCCGUCUGACGUGUGGCCGCCCACACUGGGCAAAGGCCACCCUCCAGGCCCUCACUCUGGGCCAUCCACCUGCUCCUCCAGGAUUCUGCCCUGCACCUCUCACCCCUGGCUGACAUAAUCACCUUCUCCUCCUCCCUUCCAUGAGCAUUGCUUUCAACACACACUCAUGCUCCCAUUCUUCAAAAAAUUUAUCAAUUGUAUGAAACUUUCUCCUGACCCUGCUAGUCACCCUUCCUUUUUGUAAUUAAAAUUAAAAAAAAUUUUUUUUUGAGGCGGAGUCUCACUGUCGCCCAGGCUGGAGUGCAGUGGCGCGAUCUGCCUCCCGGGUUCAUGCCACUCCUGCCUCAGCCUCCCGAGUAGCUGGGACUACAGGCGCCCGCCACCAUGCCCAGCUAAUUUUUUGUAUUUUUAGUAGAGACGGGGUUUCACUGUGUUAGGAUGGUCUCAAUCUCCUGACCUCGUGAUCUGCCUGCCUCGGCCUCUCAAACUGCUGGGAUUACAGGCGUGAGCCACGGCGCCUGGCCUCUUUUUUUUUUUUUUUUUUUUUUGAGACAGAUUCUCGCUCUGUUGCCGAGGCUGGAGUGCAAUGGUGCGAUCCUGGCUCACCGCAACCUCCACCUCCU